CUCUGCAGCCUCGACAUCAAGAGACAUGAUCAGGAUUAUACUCGUGUUUCAGUCACUUUACUGGAUUCAAGGAGUUGCAGAUGCAAAUGAUGUCUCUCAGCCCAGUAUACUCAGGGUUAAACUGGGCCAAUCAGCCACAAUAAAAUGCUCACAGACAAAGGGUGCAGCUUACAGAGAAAUGUACUGGUAUCGUCAAUAUCAAGGAGAGAGCAUGGAGCUCAUAGUGUACACUACCAACUUUAAAGAUCCAGACUUUGGAAAAUCCAACCAAAGUAAAUUUUCAGCGAAUAAAACAGUUCCUGAGGAAGGAUUCUUCACAGUGAAAGCUGUGGAUUAUAAUGACAGCGCUGUGUAUUUCUGUGCUGUGAGAGAACACAGUGUUUUAACCACAGGGCAGAGCUGUACAAAAACACACUGUGUGGAAGGCAGGAAGAAAUAG